AUGCAUCUACGAAAGAAAGAGAAACAGUCUGAAAGUACUUGUAUUGAGCUGAUUUGUAUAGUAGUAGUACUUUUUUAUAGAGUACCUAGAAUAGAUCCGAAACUCUUUCUUCAUGGGAUAAAUGCCAAUUUAUUUACAUGCAAGAGUAAACAGUCAACGACACUAGAAAGCUCACUACAGUAGUAAAAAAAUCAGGCCAAUCAUUUAUUCAAUUCACCACGA
rnacentral:lncRNA from 1 species